rnacentral:misc_RNA from 1 species
UGAUAACCAAAGAACCCUCGUCCCUCCUGCUUCCACCACCGACCAUUUUCAGAUUAAAAAAUAACAGAUCAACCAAAGCGACGCAAGAACAAUGAAAUCGUAAAAACGGAGGUCGGAUUUAAAAAAUUCCUCGAAGUACGGGAAUUGAACCAAGAAUUUUAUUGGCGAAACCAAAUCUCCGGGCAGCGAACUGAAAUCAGA